GAGAGUGGCGCACGGGUGCGUAACGCGUAUGCAACCAACCCCCGACAGGGAGAUAGCCGGUGGAAACGCCGGGUAACCCCCCAUAGUCCCCAUGGAGGGCAUCCUUCCUGGGGUAUAGCUACUGCGGUCGGGGACGGGCAUGCUUCCCAUUAUGUGGUAGGCGGGGUCACGGCCCACCUAGCUUACGAUGGGUAGGGGAUCUGAGAGGACGGUCCCCCACACUGGUACUGAGACACGGCCCAAACUCCUACGGGAGGCAGCAGUGGGGGAUAUUGGUCAAUGGGGGAAACCCUGAACCAGCGACGCCGCGUGAGUGAAGAAGUAUUUCGGUAUGUAAAGCUCUAUCAGCAGGGAAGAAAAAAUCAAAAUUGACAGUACCUGACUAAGAAGCCCCGGCUAACUACGUGCCAGCAGCCGCGGUAAUACGUAGGGGGCAAGCGUUAUCCGGAUUUACUGGGUGUAAAGGGAGUGUAGGCGGCGAAGCAAGUCAGAUGUGAAAGCCCGGGGCUCAACUCCGGGACUGCAUUUGAAACUGUUUUGCUAGAGUGUCGGAGAGGUCAGUGGAAUUCCUAGUGUAGCGGUGAAAUGCGUAGAUAUUAGGAAGAACACCAGUGGCGAAGGCGGUCUACUGGACAGUAACUGACGCUGAGGCGCGAAAGCGUGGGGAGCAAACAGGAUUAGAUACCCUGGUAGUCCACGCCGUAAGCGAUGAAUACUAGGUGUGGGGGGACUGACCCCCUCCGUGCCGCAGUUAACACAAUAAGUAUUCCACCUGGGGAGUACGGCCGCAAGGUUGAAACUCAAAGGAAUUGACGGGGGCCCGCACAAGCGGAGGAACAUGUGGUUUAAUUUGAUGAUACGCGAGGAACCUUACCCGGGCUCGAACGGCAAGUGAAGAGAUCCAGAGAUGGUGACGCCCUUCGGGGCACUUGUCGAGGUGCUGCAUGGUUGUCGUCAGCUCGUGUCGUGAGAUGUUGGGUUAAGUCCCGCAACGAGCGCAACCCUUGUCGUUAGUUACCAUCAGGUAAAGCUGGGGACUCUAACGAGACUGCCACCGCAAGGUGUGAGGAAGGCGGGGAGGACGUCAAAUCAGCACGGCCCUUACGUCCGGGGCGACACACGUGUUACAAUGGUAGCUACAGAGGGAAGCCACCUGGUGACAGGGAGCAGAUCUCGAAAAGCUAUCUCAGUUCGGAUUGGAGUGUGCAACUCGACUCCAUGAAGCUGGAUUCGCUAGUAAUCGCGCAUCAGCCAUGGCGCGGUGAAUACGUUCCCGGGCCUUGUACUCACCGCCCGUCA
rnacentral:rRNA from 1 species